AUGCUUCUUUUGGCAGCACAUAUACUAAAAUUGUAAUGAUACAGAGAAGAUUUUCAUGAAUCUAAGCAAAAAUGACAUACAAAUUAAUGAUACAUUCCCUAAUUUU
ensembl:snRNA U6 U6 spliceosomal RNA